CUACGGGGGGCACCAGUGGGGAAUAUUGCACAAUGGAGGAAACUCUGAUGCAGCAACGCCGCGUGGAGGAUGACACUUUUCGGAGCGUAAACUCCUUUUAUAUAGGAAGAAGAUGACGGUACUAUAUGAAUAAGCGCCGGCUAACUCCGUGCCAGCAGCCGCGGUAAUACGGAGGGCGCAAGCGUUACUCGGAAUCACUGGGCGUAAAGAGCGUGUAGGCGGAUUAAAAAGUAAGAAGUGAAAUCCUAUAGCUUAACUAUAGAACUGCUUCUGAAACUCUUAAUCUAGAAUAUGGGAGAGGUAGAUGGAAUUUCUGGUGUAGGGGUAAAAUCCGUAGAGAUCAGAAGGAAUACCGAUUGCGAAGGCGAUCUACUAGAACAUUACUGACGCUAAGGCGUGAAAGCGUGGGGAGCAAACAGGAUUAGAUACCCGGGUAGUC
rnacentral:rRNA from 1 species